rnacentral:rRNA from 1 species
GAGAGCCUAACAUGCAGUCGAACGGAGUUGUUAUACAGAAGUUCUUCGGGAUGGAAGUAUAAGAACUUAGUGGCGGACGGGUGAGUAACGCGUGGGUAACCUGCCCUUUUGUGGGGAACAACUUCGAGAAAUCGGAGCUAAUACCGCAUAAUAAUAGAGAAUCGCAUGAUUUUCUAAGGAAAGAUGGCCUCUGAAGAUGCUAUCGCAAAAGGAUGGACCCGCGUCUGAUUAGCUAGUUGGAAGGGUAACGGCCUACCAAGGCAACGAUCAGUAGCCGGCCUGAGAGGGUGAACGGCCACAUUGGGACUGAGACACGGCCCAAACUCCUACGGGAGGCAGCAGUGGGGAAUCUUCCGCAAUGGGCGAAAGCCUGACGGAGCAAUGCCGCGUGAGUGAAGAAGGCCUUCGGGUUGUAAAACUCUGUCCUUAUCGAAGAGAGGUGGGUAUGUGAAUAAUGUACUCAUAGGACGGUAGAUAAGGAGGAAGCCCCGGCUAACUACGUGCCAGCAGCCGCGGUAAUACGUAGGUGGCAAGCGUUGUCCGGAUUUAUUGGGCGUAAAGCGAGUGCAGGCGGUUCAAUAAGUCUGAUGUGAAAGCCUUCGGCUCAGCCGGAGAAUUGCAUCAGAAACUGUUGAACUUGAGUGCAGAAGAGGAGAGUGGAACUCCAUGUGUAGCGGUGGAAUGCGUAGAUAUAUGGAAGAACACCAGUGGCGAAGGCGGCUCUCUGGUCUGCAACUUGACGCUGAGGCU